CCUACGGGCGGCAGCAGUGAGGAAUAUUGGUCAAUGGACGAGAGUCUGAACCAGCCAAGUAGCGUGAAGGAUGACUGCCCUAUGGGUUGUAAACUUCUUUUAUAAAGGAAUAAAACGAGGCACGUGUGCCUUUUUGCAUGUACUUUAUGAAUAAGGAUCGGAUAACUCCGUGCCAGCAGCCGCGGUAAUACGGAGGAUCCGAGCGUUAUCCGGAUUUAGUGGGUUUAAAGGGAGCGUAGAUGGGUUUUUAAGUCAGUUGUGAAAGUUUGCGGCUCAACCGUAAAAUUGCAAUUUAUACUGGCAGUCUUGAGUACAGUUGAGGUAGGCGGAAUUCGUGGUGUAGCGGUGAAAUGCUUAGAUAUCACGAAGAACCCCGAUUGCGAAGGCAGCUUACUAAACUGUGACUGACAUUGAUGCUCGAAAGUGUUGGUAUCAAACAGGAUUAGAUACCCGUGUAGUC
rnacentral:rRNA from 1 species